GACGAACCGUGCGAACGUUAUUCGGAAUCAUUGGGCUUAAAGGGCGCGUAGGCGGCGGUGUAAGUUGGAAGUGAAAUCCCAUCGGCUCAACCGUGGAAUUGCUCCCAGUACUGCAUCGCUCGAGGGGGAUAGGGGUCUGCGGAACUACCGGUGGAGCGGUGAAAUGUGUUGAUAUCGGUGGGAACGCCAGUGGCGAAAGCGGCAGACUAGACCCUUCCUGACGCUGAUGCACGAAAGCUAGGGGAGCAAACGGG
rnacentral:rRNA from 1 species